CCUAUGUUACUCUCCCUCGUUCUCUCACUGUAUCUUAAUAUCACUCCAUAUCUGGCAGGAGUAGCCAGUCGUCAUAGCAACAGAACCGUGCAGUCUCCCUGGGGAUUGUGGGAUAUCGUUUCAUGCUGAAACGGAACUGUGUGUGCUGCGUGUUUGUGUGUGUAAAGUAGCCAAGAUUUUCUACAAAUCCCAGCGAUCGUUAGUGGAUCUCGGAUGUGGUGUAAACGUGCACACGAGGCAUCUCUCCCGUUCUCUCUGCUCGGGAACAACAUCCCAAACCGGCAGCUUGAAGUCGACCUGAAACUUAUUAGAUUUCUAAUUUGUAGGUGGUGAUUUUAAAGAGUACUGUGUCUGCCGUGAACCGUCAUCCCAGAAUAUUACACUCACACUGGCUUGUUGGAGUACCAGUCACAACACCUUGAGGAGUAAUUCUGCUCUCCUGUACCUGUAGAAAUAGGAGCACCCUCUGACUGUGUUGUGGCCAAAGUACUCCUGGGUCUUUUCAUUGCCAAAGUCUUCCAGGGGGUCGGCCCACAACAGGUCGCAC